GACGAACGCUGGCGGCGUGCUUAACACAUGCAAGUCGAAUGAUGAUGCUGGAGCUUGCUCCAGUUGAUUAGUGGCGAACGGGUGAGUAACACGUGAGCAAUCUGCCCUUGACUCUGGGAUAACUGCGGGAAACUGUAGCUAAUACCGGAUACGACCCUCGGAGGCAUCUCCUGGGGGUGGAAAGAAUUUCGGCCAAGGAUGGACUCGCGGCCUAUCAGCUAGUUGGUGAGGUAAAGGCUCACCAAGGCGACGACGGGUAGCCGGCCUGAGAGGGUGACCGGCCACACUGGGACUGAGACACGGCCCAGACUCCUACGGGAGGCAGCAGUGGGGAAUAUUGCACAAUGGGCGCAAGCCUGAUGCAGCAACGCCGCGUGAGGGAUGACGGCCUUCGGGUUGUAAACCUCUUUUAGCAGGGAAGAAGCGAAAGUGACGGUACCUGCAGAAAAAGCACCGGCUAACUACGUGCCAGCAGCCGCCGUAA
rnacentral:rRNA from 1 species